UCCCUGGUAGCUCAGUCGGUAGAGCGUCGGACUGUUAAUCCGUUGGUCGUUGGUUCGAGUCCAACCCAGGGAGCCA
rnacentral:tRNA from 1 species